GAUGAACGCUGGCGGCGUGCCUAAUACAUGCAAGUCGAGCGAACAGACGAGGAGCUUGCUCCUCUGACGUUAGCGGCGGACGGGUCAGUAACACGUGGAUAACCUACCUAUAAGACUGGGAUAACUUCGGGAAACCGGAGCUAAUACCGGAUAACAUGUUGAACCGCAUGGUUCAACAGUGAAAGACGGUCUUGCUGUCACUUAUAGAUGGAUCCGCGCCGCAUUAGCUAGUUGGUAAGGUAACGGCUUACCAAGGCAACGAUGCGUAGCCGACCUGAGAGGGUGAUCGGCCACACUGGAACUGAGACACGGUCCAGACUCCUACGGGAGGCAGCAGUAGGGAAUCUUCCGCAAUGGGCGAAAGCCUGACGGAGCAACGCCGCGUGAGUGAAGAAGGUCUUCGGAUCGUAAAACUCUGUUAUUAGGGAAGAACAAAUGUGUAAGUAACUAUGCACGUCUUGACGGUACCUAAUCAGAAAGCCACGGCUAACUACGUG
rnacentral:rRNA from 1 species